UACGUAGGGGGCUAGCGUUGUCCGGAAUCAUUGGGCGUAAAGCGCGCGUAGGCGGCCAGAUAAGUCCGGUGUGAAAGCCACAGGCUCAACCUGUGAAUGCCGCUGGAAACUGUCUGGCUAGAGUCCGGGAGAGGGAUGCGGAAUUCCAGGUGUAGCGGUGAAAUGCGUAGAUAUCUGGAGGAACACCGGUGGCGAAGGCGGCAUCCUGGACCGGCAUUGACGCUGAGGCGCGAAAGCCAGGGGAGCAAACGGG
rnacentral:rRNA from 1 species